AUUGGUGCAUCCUUACAUUUCUGGCAACCCUAGUGUCUUCCUGCUCACGCUGCAUCCGAGCGAAGCUUGCUUGCUAGUCCUGCUGGAUGUCCAGACUGUUGACUAGAAGACGGAUUUCGAGCUGAUACGUUUUGAAUGAUAAGGAUGUGGGCGUGCUGACCCUGCUGUGGGCGGAGCCCGCCAUGCGUUAGUGCGCCGGCGAACGCGGACCCCUGGUCUGUCGCCAUGGCGAUGGCGGUGAACGCGGCGGCGGAGGCGGAGAAGGCGCGGGCGCUCCUGCAGACCUUCAGCUCGGCGUCGGUGGCGGCCAGCGUGGGCCUGGGCGUCUUCUGCUUCUGCGCCGACCGCCUGCUGCAGCUGUCACUCAUCCAGAGCCACCUAUGGCUGCGUGCUGCCGCCGACAACGCCGUCCACGCUGCCAUCGCGAUCUGGGCCUGGGCCAUCGUCAUCGGCCUGAGGAAGAGGAGCGACCUGUGCGAGGUGGCGCUGGCCGGCUUCUUCGCCUCUGUCAUCGACCUGGAUCACUUCUACCUGGCCGGCUCGCUGUCACUCAAGGCGGCUGUCAGCCUGCCCCACCGCCCCCCACUGCACUGCUCCACGUUGAUCCCGGUGCUCUGCCUGUCGCUGAGGCUGCUCAUGUGGCUGUUCCGGCUGAAGGACUCCUGGUGCUUCCUCCCAUGGAUGCUCUUCAUCGCGCUGGCGUCCCACCACGUGCGGGAUGGGGUGCGGCACGGCCUGUGGGUGUGGCCCUUGGGGAACACCGCGCCCGUGCCCUACUGGCUGUACGUGGGCAUCAGCGCCACCCUGCCCCACCUCUGCUCCGUGCUCAUGUACCUGACGGGCACCAGAGACGUGAUCUCCACCAAACACGGCGUCGCCAUCGACGUCUGACCCCCCCCCCCCCCCCACCGUGCUGCGCCCCCACCCCCCCCUCACCGUGUUGCCGCCCCCCGCCAUCCCCGCCAUCCUGCUGCCACCCGGGGCCUGUCUCCUGCGUCUGGCGCACUGCUGAUGCCUCGGUCCUCCCCCCCCCCAAGAAAAAAAACUAUACCUAGUUCUAGAUGCCCCAUAUUCUUGGAAUUACAUGGCUUCUUUGUGAAUGCAUUUGCUUUUUCUUUCAUCAUCUGAAUGUUGGACUUUAAUUUGGGAGUUUUUGGUAGGUUUUGUCUGAUAUCAGAACGCAUCUCAUGAGAAUAUUUAACUAAAAGCUCAAAAAAAAAAGGACCAGUUUUACAUAGGGCUGGGCAAUAUACUCAUUCGAUAAUUACCUAAUUUAUAUAUAUUUUUUAGUUCAAUAGCAGUUAUUGCCACCUUGUGGUGUAUUGCCUUUCUCUUUCUUUGUUGUUUUUUAAAAUUAUUGUUAUUAUAAUUAUCUGCAUUAUUUAAUUCUACCUGAUGUGGUAGUAAACAUCCAAACUUCAGGGGCAGUGUGAAAUUCUUCCAGAAACACCACUGAUAUCCAUUGGAUGUUGAUAAGACAGCCAAUCAGCAGCAAGGUCAUACAGGGGCUUGCAGCUUCCAUGUGAUCGACAAUGAACAGCCACUGAUUGGCUGUUUUAUCAGCAUCCAAUAGAUAUCAGCGGGGAUUUUUCCCCCCCCGGAAGCACUUCAUGCUGCCUUUAAAGUUUGGAUGUUUAUUACCAGAGCAGGUGUAAGUAAAGAGACAGACAGAAAGGCACACGGUGGUGAUGACCGUUGUCAAAACAAUGUGACCGUUAUUGAGCGAGUAUAUCGCUCAGCCCUGUUUUCACAGGAGAUCAAUGCCAAGGCCCUGACUUAUCAAUGGAUGAAGAGGCAUCCCAUUAAUCUUGUUUUUACCGGACAUGAAUCAUGGAACCUGCUUUCCGCUCAUUGCUGUCACCCUCAUGAUUAUCCAGCUAUUUCAUCAUUUUUCCGUGUGGGUUCGAUUUCACCCCUAGCUCUGAGUUCGCACACUGCCCCGAGCCUAUCAGACAAAUAAGGAUUCUUUGUUUGAAGGGGUUCCGCGCUGGACACAGACAGAAGAGAGAUGUGUGCUUAUGGAUGACAGUGGAGCAUUGCUUGAAUCCACGCUUCACCCUCGUUUAUAUUACUGUAAUUUCUGAGGUUAAAUUCCCCUGAUAAAUGAACUGAUGGCCCAUGCAUCUGUAGUUAGAUCAUGUCAGGGCACAUUGCCCACUCAUUGAAGUCUUUACUGAUUGUUUACUGAAUGUUCGCCCAGUUAAUUACAGCAUCUCCAGUGACGAGCGUGCAGCUCGGUAGAUUGUUUCUCUUCCUUAGAACUCUCAGUCAGCCUGAGGACUCGGCUUCAUGCAGAUGCCAAGUAAACAGCAGCACUAUAAUAUGCACAUAAACGCGUGCCUUGUUGCUUUCAGAUUUUUUGGGUGUGCUCUAGUUCUACCGCACUCCUCUACAUUAUUGGGAAUGGGAAUGAUCAGACGAAGACUAAUGAAGACUAAUGUAAUUAUUUGCCUUCAAAAUAUUUUAAUUAGUUUCCAUAUAUGCGAAUAACUUCCCAUUCACUGUAUUUUGUGUUUAAUAGUAUUAUUUUGACAGGGAAGAUGUAUAAAUACAAUGGAUGUGGUAAAUAAUUUAAUCUGAUGUGAUGAUGCCUAUUAUGCCAUAAUUUUCUCCCUGGUGGUCACCCAGAAUAUGACUGCUCCCACAUCAAAGCCACAGUCGGACAUGUUUAUCCUUCCUCUACAUGUCAAAGAAUAAUAUCAGAAAUUCAGCAAAUUGAAGGCUUCAGAUCAUUCAUUUCCAUCCACAUAGCUGUAAAAAUCCCUGAUGUAAUGGUUGCAGGUUUAAUGCUGUGCUUUGCUCCUACCUCAGUGUGAGCCAGUGUGAAUUUAUCAGCCUUGUGUGGAAGUGUCUGUCGCAUUCAAAGUUCUGCAGUGAAAAGUUCUUAUCUUGAUAUUAAAUCUGGAAAAGUUUGCCGUUCUGACAGACUGGCAAUUCCACUGGGGGGAUUAGGGGAGCUGGACAUUAUCGGUCUGCCCUAAUGGAACCUGACAGGGGCAGCACCUGUCUCCACACACUUCCUGUCUCCGCACACUUCCUUCUUAUUUGCAGUUUUCAGCUGGCUGGCUCUGCUACAUGUCCUGUAUGUGACAGGAAGUUAAUAAGUCUCAUGUUCUCCUGGUUGCUGGGAGAGGGUCGGCAGCAUCGAUCUCUCAAUCCUCUCACACUGACUGUCAGCCAGUUAAGCAGGACCCUGCAUGCCGUGACCUCAUUCUACACGGAUUGGACGCACACACACACACAGGCACACACAUACAUGCACACACACACACACACACACACACAAGCACAGGCACACACACAUGCACACAAACACAUACACUCACACACAGGCACAAACGUAAAAGGCCAUCUGGAACGAAGCAUCAUUAACAGAUGCACUGAUUUUAAGGUUUUCCUGACGAUAACAACAUCCGCAAAACAAAUGUUGACGCAGUGAUUAUUUUCCUUUGCAAAUGUGUUUUCUCAGGGUAAUGAAUAGCAUCAAAACUUUAAAAUAGAAUAAUUUGUAGACUAUGAUGCAACUGGUUUGUAAGCUGAACAUUUCAUAGGUUAUGCUUUUAUUUGAUGUAUGAUAUCCAAUUCUCAUCUCAAUCUCAUUUAAUUCUCAUCCCAUCUAAGUUCAUUCUUGUCUGAUAUCUCAUUUCUGAACUCAUCACUUCUCAUGCAGACAAAAGGCAUUGUCUGUUUCAGCUGUGUGUGCCAGUCUCAAAAUGAAACCAAGUAAAACUGCUGAGGCUCUGAGCUUCUCCCGGUCCCCGCUCUCGAAACAUCGCCCCCGUUUGUCCCCCAUUUCAGCCUGCCACCCCAGCCCUGGCCCGACUGCUUAAUGCAGCCCGUCCCAAACUGCCUGCCCCAGUGAACCCCACCCUGAGCCGGCCAGAGGAGGACAGGGCUCCCCCGGAUCAGUCUGGUUCCUUCCCAGGUUUCCUCCUACACAUUUUCCAGGGAGUGUUUCCCACCACUGUUACCUCUGGCUCGCUCUGUGGAGGUUUAGACCAGGGCACUCUGUGAAGUGUGUUGUGACAAAUCCUGUGUAAAAUAUGCUGUGGAAAUAAAAUGUGAUUGAUUGUGUUUGAAAAUGAGAA